GCCACUGUGGCUCAGUUGGUAGAGCAACGCAUUCGUAAUGCGUGGGUCAGCGGUUCGAGUCCGCUCAGUGGCU
rnacentral:tRNA from 1 species